UCCUAUUCGUCCUAUGACGUCUAGUUGUACCUGUCCCCAUGUGGAUUUACCUCUCCGUUGGUCUUGGUAAACGUCGAGUUUUUCCUAUUCGUCUUAUGACGUCUAGUUGUACCUGUCCCCAUGUGGAUUUACCUCUCCGUUGGUCUUGGUAAACGUUGAGUUUUUCCCAUUUCGUCCGUUGACGUAUGAUUGUAUCUCUUCCAGUCAUUCAUUAAUGUCUG
rnacentral:lncRNA from 1 species